rnacentral:rRNA from 1 species
UACGUAGGGUCCGAGCGUUGUCCGGAAUUACUGGGCGUAAAGAGCUCGUAGGCGGUUUGUCGCGUCUGCUGUGAAAACUCAGGGCUUAACCCUGAGCCUGCAGUGGGUACGGGCAGACUAGAGUGUGGUAGGGGAGAUCGGAAUUCCUGGUGUAGCGGUGGAAUGCGGCAGAUAUCAGGAGGAACACCGGUGGCGAAGGCGGAUCUCUGGGCCAUAACUGACGCUGAGGAGCGAAAGCUGGGGAGCGAACAGG